UAUAGAGAGGAUUCCCCUGGUCCGGCAGUGAUCCUUGUCGUGGGAUGUAAGUAGUGUAUAGAGAGGAUUCCCCUGGUCCGGCAGUGAUCCUUGUCGUGGGAUGUAAGUAGUGUAUAGAGAGGAUUCCCCUGGUCCGGCAGUGAUCCUUGUCGUGGGAUACUUCCCAAAUAACACCUCAGUGUCAGUCACAGUCAGUCCCCCUGGGGAAAUAGUGGAGGGCAGAUCAGUGACUCUGACCUGCAGCAGUGAUGCCAAGCCACCAGUGGACAAAUACACCUGGUACAAGAAGAAUGAAGAGCGGACGGGGUUCUCAGAAACAGGAUCAGGGCAGAGUUACAUCAUCCUUAACAUCAGCAAUGAGGACAGUGGGCAGUACUUCUGUAAGGCUGAGAAUCAAUACGGACCACUUGACUCUGCAACUGUGCAUCUCAGUGUAACAGGUAAACCAGUGUUUCCCUGGGCUCCCGUUGUGGGGGUGGUGGCUGUGUUGGCAGCUGGAGCUCUGCUAGUCAUCCUCUAUGGCACACUGAAGAAGAGGAAAACCCCAAGAGGAAUGAACUUUAUCGGGGAGGCACAGAUGGUACCUUGUGGUAAACCGACACACACGGCGCAGUCUGAUGACACGUACAUGACUCUGAAUAAAAGGACAAUGUCUCCUGAGUAUGACACUCUGGCUAAUGUCAGAAACACUGUUGGCUGAAGACCGUCUGGCGGAAGAAGACCCUAUGCCUGCGACCUCAACAUAAAUAGCGUUAGAAGUGAACACCAUAUAACCGUUUGAAAAUUAUUAAAAAGGGUGUAAUUUUUAAAUGAUCAAAUUUAGAGUUGUAUAUUUGAUUUUCUAUAGGUACGCCUAAAAGGUUUUUAGGCAAAAUAACCCAUUCAAAACGGAAAGCUAAUUGAACGUGGGAUUAUGCCAGGGCUAUUGUAUAAAUAGAACAAAAACGAACUAAACGUUUAAGAGAUCUGAAUUUUACUUUAUAAAUAUUUUGCUACAAUGACAGUUA